rnacentral:rRNA from 1 species
AUUGAACGCUGGCGGCAUGCCUUACACAUGCAAGUCGAACGGCAGCACGGGAGCAAUCCUGGUGGCGAGUGGCGAACGGGUGAGUAACACGUAGGUGAUCUGCCUUAUGGUUGGGGAUAGCUUGUGGAAACACAGGGUAAUACCGAAUGAGCUGACUGUUCCUUUGGGGAUGUUAGUAAAGGUGCUACGGCACCGCCAUGAGAGGAGCCUGCGGCUGAUUAGCUAGUUGGUGGGGUAAAGGCCUACCAAGGCGACGAUCAGUAGUCGGCUUGGGAGGGGGUACGGACACACUGGAGCUGGGACACGGGCCAGACUCCUACGGGAGGCAGCAGCUAAGAAUCUUCCGCAAUGGGCGAAAGCCUGACGGGGCGAUGCCGCGUGAUCGAUGAAGGUCGAGAGAUUGUAAAGAUCUUUUACAGCUGAGGAAUAAGCCUGGGAGGGAAUGCCUGGGUGAUGACGUUAAGCUGUGAAUAAGCCCCGGCUAAUUACGUGCCAGCCGCCGUAAUAC